UCUUUAGUCUGGAGUACCUGUAAAAUUCUCUAGAGAAGGAAAAGAGAGCUUAGCUUUCUGGCUUGCACUUGGUGGAAAACAAAGCUACUCAAGUAGCAAAGUAACACAGGAAAUCAUCCGUGAACCUCACUUGUUUGAAGUAAUAAGCAAUAAAGGAAAGUUAGAGAUUGAAGAAGUUCACAGCUUUGAACAAGAUGACUUGUUUCCAGAGGAUGUCUUGAUAUUAGAUACACAUGCUGAGGUCAUCGUUUGGGUUGGUCAUUUAGCACAGUCAACGGAAAAACAAAACGCUUUUGAAACUGGCGAGAAAUAUGUAGAGCUGGCUGCAUCUAUGGAUUCCUUGUCCCCAUCUGUCAUAUUAUACAGAGUAACAGAAGGAAAUGAACCUUGCUUCUUCACAACAUAUUUCUCAUGGGAUCCUGCAAAAACU